rnacentral:rRNA from 1 species
AGGUCAUUGCAUGCUGAAUACAUAGGCAUGCAAAGCGAACGCGGCGAACUGAAACAUCUAAGUAGCUGCAGGAAAAUAAAUCAACCGAGAUUCCCAAAGUAGUGGCGAGCGAAAUGGGAAGAGCCUGCACGUUUUAGCAUGACGCAUAGAAGAAUCCUCUGGAAAUAGGAGCCAUAGCGGGUGAUAGCCCCGUAUUCGAAAUGCGAUGUGUGGAACUAAGCGUGCGACAAGUAGGGCGGGACACGAGAAAUCCUGUCUGAAGAUGGGGGGACCAUCCUCCAAGGCUAAAUACUCGUAAUCGACCGAUAGUGAACCAGUACCGUGAGGGAAAGGCGAAAAGAACCCCGGGAG